rnacentral:rRNA from 1 species
CCAGAGAUGGAUUGGUGCCUUCGGGAACUCUGACACAGGUGCUGCAUGGCUGUCGUCAGCUCGUGUCGUGAGAUGUUGGGUUAAGUCCCGUAACGAGCGCAACCCUUGUCCUUAGUUACCAGCACGGUUAUGGUGGGCACUCUAAGGAGACUGCCCGGUGACAAACCGGAGGAAGGUCGGGGAUGACGUCAAGUCAUCAUGGCCCUUACGGCCUGGGCUACACACGUGCUACAAUGGUCGGUACAAAGGGUUGCCAAGCCGCGAGGUGGAGCUAAUCCCAUAAAACCGAUCGUAGUCCGGAUCGCAGUCUGCAACUCCGACUGCGUGAAGUCGGAAUCCGCUAGUAAUCGUGAAUCAGAAUGUCACGGUGAAUACGUUCCCGGGCCUU